AUGCUGAACCUGAAAAAUACAAUAUCUUGCCAUAUCUCAGCAUCAACUCACACUCACACACACAAUCUGUUCACUUCAAAAGCUAAAGGCACAGCCUGGCCUGCUGCAGAUUCUCCCAUGAGCAGAGGGCUGGGGCUCAUAUCCCCUUCCUGGAAAAUUAUCUCUUUUCCUCACUUAUGGGCUAAUGAUACCUUCGUCUUUUCUCUCCUUGCACCUCUCUAUCACAUUCAGUGCUGUAAGGACUGGCAACGGCAGGCACAAGCUGACACUGGUGGUAGGCUUGCCUCGUGGCUCUCCGAGACUUUUGUCCAACGCUGCUGGGCUGCUCCUCCCAGUCCUUCCUCCUGCCAUCUCCUUCUGCCUUGCUUUCUGGUUGGAUUCCUCCACCCUGUGCACAGCCCGGUAUGGCACUGGUCUCCUCCUCCUUGUGCAUGGCUCCCUGCAGGGACACCUGGAGAUGGUCUUACCUUGAAGGCCUUGGAAUGUCUCUGUGGGCUGUGUGCAAUGCUGGGGGGUGCUUUAGGUCCCCUCGCUGCUCUGCAAAUGCUGUACAAAGGAGCCCAGAUCUCACCCAAGUUAUGCAACCAGCAACUUAUCCUGAGAAUUGGGGGCUUACUUGAAAGCCCUCACUUUCCUGCUCCUGCCCUUCCUGCUGCUGCUGGCCUGUCUGUGAUCAGAAAUGGCUCUGCCUGCUGCCAAGCUGCUAUGGGUGCCAGCACAGAGGAGCCCCACGUGAGCCGCACAGAGGCUGGGCCAGUGCAAUCCCUGCUGGGCUCAGAGCUGGGGCAGGGGCUGGCAGACAGCGUGGACUUGGGGGGGCCGGGGGGAGGUAUGGGCUGUUGUUUGAGAUCAGCCUUCUUUGCACUGUCUGUUCAUCCCGUUUAUCCUGGACAGGGACAGCUGCAAAGUGCUGGGCAUAGCCCUGUCCUGCACUAUUCUGUCACCAAUUCUUCUUCACAGAAUUUCUUCUGUGUUUCCAUCAGUUCUUACUACAGGAAAAGUUUACCACUGGGGAAGCAAAAAUGCCACACAGACCACUGA
rnacentral:lncRNA from 1 species